rnacentral:rRNA from 1 species
GACGAACGCUGGCGGCGUGCUUAACACAUGCAAGUCGAACGGAAAGGCCCUGCUUUUGUGGGGUGCUCGAGUGGCGAACGGGUGAGUAACACGUGAGUAACCUGCCCUUGACUUUGGGAUAACUUCAGGAAACUGGGGCUAAUACCGGAUAGGAGCUCCUGCUGCAUGGUGGGGGUUGGAAAGUUUCGGCGGUUGGGGAUGGACUCGCGGCUUAUCAGCUUGUUGGUGGGGUAGUGGCUUACCAAGGCUUUGACGGGUAGCCGGCCUGAGAGGGUGACCGGGCACAGGGGGACUGAGAGAGGGAGCAGACGGGAAGGGGCGGCAAGGGGGGAAAGUGUGGCGGAGGGGGGGGGAGUGAGGUAAGAAAGCCCCGGGGGCGGAAAGCCGGCUUAUGGGGGAAAAACCGGUUUGGAAGGAAACGAGGCGGGCGGGACGGUAAGGGAUAAGAAAGCCCCGGCUAACUACGUG